CUACGUGAGGCAGCAGUGGGGAAUAUUGGACAAUGGGCGAAAGCCUGAUCCAGCCAUGCCGCGUGUGUGAAGAAGGCCUUCGGGUUGUAAAGCACUUUCAGUGGGGAAGAAAGCCUUGGGGCUAAUACCCUCGAGGAAGGACAUCACCCACAGAAGAAGCACCGGCUAACUCCGUGCCAGCAGCCGCGGUAAUACGGAGGGUGCGAGCGUUAAUCGGAAUUACUGGGCGUAAAGCGCGCGUAGGCGGUCUGAUAAGCCGGUUGUGAAAGCCCCGGGCUCAACCUGGGAACGGCAUCCGGAACUGUCAGGCUAGAGUGCAGGAGAGGAAGGUAGAAUUCCCGGUGUAGCGGUGAAAUGCGUAGAGAUCGGGAGGAAUACCAGUGGCGAAGGCGGCCUUCUGGACUGACACUGACGCUGAGGUGCGAAAGCGUGGGUAGCAAACAGGAUUAGAUACCCCAGUAGUC
rnacentral:rRNA from 1 species